UCCCUGAUGGUCCAGUGGCUAAGACUCCAUGCUCCCAAUGCAGGGGCCCAGGUUCAAUCCCUGGUCAGGGAA
rnacentral:tRNA from 1 species